GAAUGCACUGAGGUGGCCUCCCACCCCACUGUCCCUGUCACACUCAGGGCCCUGCCCCGUGUAGGCCCCUGGUGGCCUUCUUGUGUGGGUGACUAGCUGGCUCUUCGUGGGUUAGUCAUUCACUGCCUCCCCCGCCAGCCUGUGAGAGGACAGGGGCCAUGUGCAUCUGGUCCCCCUGGGUCCCCUGCGCUGAGACAGUGCCUAACAGGCCAGGCACUCAGUGACGAUUUGCGGAGUGAAUGACAGGGGCAGAGCCAGGACUCAAACUCAGUCAGGUCUGUCUUAUUCCCAAGCCAUACUUAACAUUUUUUUCCAGCUUUAUUGAGAUAUAAUUGACGGCUAACAUUGUGCAAGUGUAAGGUGUACAAGGCAAUGAUCUGAUGAUGACCACCGUACGGUUAGUUAACACAUCUACCACCUCAAAUAACGUCCAUUUUUUUUGGUGUUGUGAUAAGAACAUGAUCUAACCUCUUACUUUCUUUUCUUUUCUUUUUUUUAAAAGAUUUUAUUUAUUCAUUUGUCAGAGAGAGCACAAGCGGCAGAGGGAGAAGCAGGCUCCCCGCUGAGCAAAGAUCCCGAUGUGGGGCUUGAUCCCAAGACCCUAGGAUCACGACCUGAGUGGAAGGCAGACGCUUAACCGAUUGAGCCACCCAGGCGCCCCUGCUCUUAAAAACUUUCAGACCCCAAGAGCCCCCACACCAAGCCCCCAGCACAGGCAUCAGAGGAAAACCCAGCACUCUUCUCACUUGAGCCUGCACACAGAGGAAAUGACACCAGGGUCCGCCCUGGAAGGCGCAGCUACCACGUCUCAGCACAGUGGGGGUUUGCCUCCCUCCCCGCCAGCAGAUUCUUCAUUUCAUGAGAACGGCAGCCUGCUCCCCGGCAGACUGUCCCAGCACCUUCCUUGGAGACCCCAGGCCCCUGAAUCUAAAACUCCUCACCAGUAAAACGAGGUCAAGAGUGGUCCUCACCUCCCAGGCGCUCGAGGAUGACCGAGAGCACCAUGAGCACAAGUGCUGGCUGGCCGGGGAUGGUGGCUGACGCAAAGGAAGGAGCGGGGCGCAGCUCAGUGCCCGGCACAUGGUGGGCACAAGAUACGCAAUGUGGUGAACGAGUGAACACGUGGAUAAGAUGUGUCUGUAACACCCCCUCCAUUCCAAUAUUCUCAGGACCUCUUCAAGUGCGAUCAUGCCUCCAUAAUGAUCUACAGUCUGGUGCAGUACCGUAUUGGCUGCCUCUGAUCACUUCCAGCCAGGCCUGGCAGACAGAGCGCAGAGGAGGGGGAGGAGGGGAAGGAAGAUCAAAUCGGCUUCGUCCAGAGCCCCAGGACACUGCCUGCUGGAUGCCAGGAAGGGGACCCAGCCAGGCCAUAGAGGCCCCCAAGAGGUGGAGCCUCUCUUAGGCCAGGCCCGGGGUACUGAAAGCUCAGUCUGGUUUCUCUCUGAGGCUCCUGGCCCAGGCGCCGCCAGCUUCCCCAUCCUCCAGCUCCAGGACAGAGGCUGCACCCUCUGCAGGGCACUGCCAGGCCCUCCUCCACGCAGCCCUACCAGCCUUUUCUCCUCUGUCCCAGGCCAUGACUGCCUCUGAACCUGGCCAGUCCCUGCCUGUGCCCUCCUCUUUGAUUUCACCUGUCCUUCAAGACCCACCUUGAUCUCCCACCUCCUCCAGGAAGCCCCCCUCCUUGUUAGUCUCCUCCAGUACAGACCCUCACAGUCAGAAAGAGUCAAGAAUGGAGGGGUCAGAAGGCCAGCCCAGGGGCAGGUGGAGCCUCCCAGAGAGGUUCACCAAGUUCCAGUGCAGGCUUUCCUUACUCCUGCCAUGUGCUCUGCAGGAGGUUCCCUUCCUCACUGAGCUUGCUUCCCUAUCGGCGAAGCAGGGACGAUGGCAUGCUCUCCCUAGGCAGCAGGAGGGUUCAGUGAGAUCCACCAAUGCGAUCUGCCAGCACACAGUAGGCCCUCGAUCUGGGUAUGUCCACCACCCCCAGCCCAGUCUGGAUGAGGAAACAGAAGUCAGGACAGAGAGAACUUUCCACCAGGGGAAAGAGCCUGUCUUUGGUGAUCCUCUAGUCACGACUCUUCCCCAACACUCGGUGGCUUCCAGAGCCAGCUGGGCCUCCUGGGCAUGGGGCCCUGGGAAAACCUUCAUGUUCUAGAGCACACAGUAGGGGCUCAAAAAGGCCCAUUGUUAUUCCUACAUUGGAAUCAUGACACACACCAACCACACGUUGAGCCUUGGGCUAAGGGUUCACUGGCUGGCACAAUGCCGUAAGCUCUCCCGGACUCAGUUGCCCAUGUGCACCUUGGGGUCUUGACCCUCCCUUCAUGGCUGCUCUGAGCUAAAGGAGUGGGAUCAUGGUCUGCACAUGACAGGUGCAGGGUCCAUCCAUACAGGGUCACGUCGGCAUCUUGGUCGGUUCCCUGGCUGUGCCUGUUCUGGACCUGCCACGCUCAGAGCCCACGCUGGGCCCCUCUGCCCUUAGUGCUGAGAUUCUGUUCCUGCCCCCAGUGCUCCGGGACCUGCCUCAGAUGCGGCCGCCCGGUCCCCCACCGGGUGAGCUCACCUGGCUGUGAAGCUCUGUCCAGAACUGCCGCAGCCUGAAUCUGGCUCCAGGAAUGACCAUGAUGACAGAGGUCACGGUCAGAAGGGAAAUAAGGGGUGAUGUAGGCAGAGCGGUCACUCUACCGGGCACCAUGGUCCGUGUCCUUCUGGCCCAUCUCACUCGCUCCUCACCAUACACGUCUAUUACUGUCUCUGUUUCAGAGCUGAUGCCACCCAAGCUCAGAGAGGUCAUGGCUGCGUGCGGUCACACAGCCUGGAGGUGGCUGAGCAGGGCCUGGGGGGGUGGCCGGGUCCCCUCCCUCACGCCCCUCACCCACGGGCUCCUGGAGAACAGAGUCCGUACCCAUCUACCUCCGGUCGAUACCAGCACCAGCUAAGCCACUGAGGCACAAGGCAGGGACCGGGGGCCAAGGGAGGGUGGCCUCCAUGCUCUGGACUCCAUGGACUCAGGAUUCCUGGAUGGGGCAUGAGGAGACCGGAUUCCGGCCCACAUUGGGCUGCCACUUCUCUGGGUGCCUGAGCAGGUCACCCCUGCCGCUUCAGGCUCAGUUUCCCCAUCUAGAAAAUGGAGGUCUUAGAGUCCAGGAUAUGUUCCUUCGUUUUCCAGGUUGAAUACUCAGGUCCCUGCCCUAGGUGCUGGCAGGUGACACCCCGACACUCCCCUUUCUCCCUAAGCCUAAUCCUCCUGAGCCUCUGACAACAAGUCAGGUGGCCACCCCCCACCCCUGGCACAUUCUCCCCCCAUCCCAGACAGUGCGCUGUGUGCUGCUGGGACCCCCAGUCGGGGCUAACUCACCUUGGGGGUCUGCACUGCACCAGAGGCACCUGAAGCUAUAGAAUAAUUACUUGUAUUUGUUUAUUUAUUUUUGGUCUCAGGUGGCAAGGGAUGUAAAAUGCAUUUUUGGACUAGAAUCAAGAUAGAUUGUGAAGUAGAUUGCAAAAGUCACAUGACUUUUAAGAAGCAUUGGAGGAAAAAAGAUCUUUGGAAGCACAGGGGCAGGGCCUCACCCCCGUCUCUACCCCUCAGCAGCUGUGCAGGCUUGGGCAACUUGUGACGCCUCCCUGAGCAUCAGUUUCUCCAUCUGCUAAAUGGGCAGAGGUGCUCUGGGUGGAUAGGAACGGGGCCUCAGUUCUUUUGGUGUGUAGUCAGGUAUUAUCCUGAGUAUUUGUUGAUCAGAGUUAAAUGUGUGGGAUGAAAGGAGAGAGGAGUUUAUUUCAGGAGGCAGGAGCCUGGGCAGAAAGAGGGAAGUGAUGGAGGUGGGUAGGGAUGUGUGCAUGAUGCUCUUUCCCUUCCCGUCUCCGGGACAGGGUUCCGAUCCCCUGGGCAGAGGGGUGAGGACCAGAACCUGGCUGUGUCAGGAGACGCUGCGUGAGGCCCAGCACCCAAGCACUGCUGUGUAGGGUCCCGGGUCACAUCCAGGGUGGAAAUGGGACCUUCUCCCCAGAGCAGGCCACAGACCCAGCCCCGCCUGGGCCUUCUGGGGUCACUGGCUCUCCGACAGGGAGAGCCCUGGACACCGGCGGCAGGGGUAGCAGGCCCCACUGAAGGCCUGGAGGGGUCGGCGGUCCACAAAGAGGGCAGUGUGGACGGCUGAGGGUGGACGGAGGUCUGAGCGUGUGUCCCCCACCGCUGGACGCUCACAGGUAACGGGAGAGACCCGAGCAGGGAGUGAGGUUCUGGGCUCAUCAGGUGGGUGAAGGGAUGUCAUCUGACGUUAGCCAGGCCCCUUUAUGUCUUGCUGUGAGACAUUCUGAUUCCAGAAUAAUCUCCCCUUCACGGAGCUGCUGGCUCGGAGGGAUGCUAACAGGUGUUUCCAGGAGAAGAACUUCAUCAUGGAAUCUGCUUGGGUGACCGCAUUAGUUCCUUUUGUUUUUAUCUUUGAUUUUCCUUCAUAACAAGCUCAAAAUCUCAGGGGCUUAUAGCAGCACACAUUCCUCUUUUUCACUCACGGGCCUGGUAGGCGGAGCUGCUUGGGGCUUCCGCGGAGCUGCUUGGGGCUUCCCCGGAGCUGCACAGCUGUCCCCAGGAGGCUCCACGUCCUCACGGCCCACGCCCCAGAUGCAAGGACGCCGGGCACAUGAGUGACAGAUGCCUCUCAAGUCCUCAGCUCAGAAUUGGCAACCGUCACUUGUACCCCUGUUCCUUUGGCCAACAUGAGUUACACAGCUGCACCCAACAUCAGGAGGUCAGGGAAGUACGCUUUGUCUGCGGCAUUGUCGUCCGCAGGGUCACAUGGCCGAGGGCACAGGUGGGGGGAGUUGGGAACAGGUCCCAUCUGCUGCCUUAACACUGUGGCCUCGGCUCCUUCUGCAGAGUCACGGAGCACCCAGACCCUGCGUAUCUCCAGCGCGUCCCCGACUCCUUCCUUCUCCUUUAUCCUUCAGAGUAUGUCUGCUGCCUGAGCCCCAUCCCAUGGGCUGUGAGAUGUCCUGUCUAAGCGUCAGCCUUUCCCUGGGGCUUAGGGGCCCUCUGGUUUCCUAGUUCCGCCCCGUGUAAGCCCUCUCCCCCCACUACCGUCUCCCCACCCCCCUGAACUAGGUGUGGGGCCCAGGCUUGAACAUUCAAACCCUCCCUCCUGCUUGGCCAAACAAAGACCAUCUGUUUUGAGUUUCUAUCCUUCAGUAUUACAAAACACUACUGAAAGAUUAUUAUUAUUUUUAUUAUUCUUGUUGUUAUUGUUUUGCCUCAAACAUAAGGACAUUC